rnacentral:rRNA from 1 species
UUAUACCCUUAUAAAAGUAAUUAUGCUAGAACUAGUAACAAGAAAUUGAAUUUCUCCUAAAUGUAAGCAUAAGCCAUGUGGACAUUUCCAGGCACUUAACGUUUAUGUAGUCUUUAUAACAACAUCAUUCAAGAAAGCCCUAUUAAAUUUUACGUUUAUCUAACCCCCAGAGCAUUUCAGGAAAGAUUAAAAAAGAGAGAAGGAACUCGGCAAAUUUUAGCCCCGCCUGUUUACCAAAAACAUCGCCUUUUGACACAAUAUAAGAGGUCCAGCCUGCCCGGUGACAGAGUUUAACGGCUACGGUACCCUGACCGUACGAAGGUAGCAUAAUCACUUGUUCCUUAAAUAGGGACUUGUAUCAACGGCAUCACGAGGGCUGCACUGUCUCCUCUCUUUAAUCAGUGAAACUGAUCUCCCCGUGAAGAAGCGGGGAUCAAACUAUAAGACGAGAAGACCCCAUGGAGCUUUAAACAGCGUAUUUACACUAUAAUAAAAUAUCAACUUAUUAGAAGCCCUGAAUACAAGUUUUAGGUUGGGGAGACCGCGGAGCAUAACAAAACCUCCAUGACAGAUGGCCCAAGCCCUUAUCCACGAGCCACAACUCUAAGAAUCAGUACACUGAUGAUUAUGACCCGAUAUUAUUCGAUUAACGAACUAAGUUACCCUGGGGAUAACAGCGCAAUCUACUUCAAGAGCCCAUAUCGACAAGUAGGUUUACGACCUCGAU